AUUGAACGCUGGCGGCAUGCUUUACACAUGCAAGUCGAACGGUAACAGGCCUUCGGGUGCUGACGAGUGGCGAACGGGUGAGUAAUGCAUCGGAACGUACCCAGAGGUGGGGGAUAACGCAGCGAAAGCUGUGCUAAUACCGCAUGUGAUCUGAGGAUGAAAGCGGGGGACCGAGCAGCAAUGUUUGGCCUCGCGCCUUUGGAGCGGCCGAUGUCGGAUUAGCUAGUUGGUGGGGUAAAGGCCUACCAAGGCGACGAUCCGUAGCUGGUCUGAGAGGACGACCAGCCACACUGGGACUGAGACACGGCCCAGACUCCUACGGGAGGCAGCAGUGGGGAAUUUUGGACAAUGGGCGCAAGCCUGAUCCAGCAAUGCCGCGUGCGGGAAGAAGGCCUUCGGGUUGUAAACCGCUUUUGGCAGGAACGAAACGGUGUCCGCUAAUACCGGGCGCUAAUGACGGUACCUGCAGAAUAAGCACCGGCUAACUACAUG
rnacentral:rRNA from 1 species